CUGUGUGUACAAUCUUGCAAAACUGACGCACCUGCCUAGUUUGACAUUGCCCAGGCUUAAUCUAGCCUGAGCCCAAUUAGGCCACUGUGUUGCACCUGGGGUGUGUGUUAGACUUAACUGGUGAUCAAACUCAGCUGGGGAGAAGCUGGGUCUUCACACAGGAAGGAGAACAGGACAGUGAGAAAGGCCAGGGAGAGGAGAGCUAGAAGAAAGGAAGUUGGGAGUUUCACCUAGCUAAGGGUGAGAGAUACCUCAGAGGCCUGAAGUUUGAAGCCAGAACUAGAGGUCCCAAGCCCAGAAGAAACCUGGGAGGCCACAGCAGUGAAGCCUUGGGCAACAGGUUGUGUUGUCUCUAAGCCAAGAGAAAGAUGGAGGCAGUGAAGCCCAACAAGCAGCAACAGUAAACCCUAAGGGCCAUUUGGAGUGAAGUUUGUGGAACUGCAUAGAGGAGCUCCACAAAAGAAGAGGUUCCUGUGAUAGCCUCUGAGGAGUGGAGACUCCAGGGAGAAAGCCCUGGGAAGCAGUCCUCUGAAAUAAAUGAAGAAAGAACUCUGCAGGUAUUUGGCUGAACCCCAGCGAGAAGCCCUGAGGUAAGCAGCCCAGGAAGCUGAGGAUGUCAGGGAAAGCCCUGGGUACAGAGAGUUAAAAGGCAAAGAAUACAGGAGAUGGUAAUUCUUAUCGUAGCAGGCUUGAAAGAAGGUUCAGUAUGGAGCUGAGACAAGAACCAAGAUGGUGGGAGACAAAGGGCUCUAGCUGAGCCUGAGACAGGGUUUGAUAAAGUACUGGGCGUUGAAUGGGACUAAAAGUACUGAAGUGGAGAUUUCUUUGAAUAGUCGACAUUGCAGAUCCUGGGUGAGGACGUGUGGGUUUUAGUAACCCCCAAGAAGAAGGGCUGAGACUGGAACAUGGGUAUUGUUUUCUGUGAACUUGAGACUGGAGUACCCUGAAAGGGAUGUAGAACUAAAGCUGGCCUCAGGGCUGAGUAAUGGAAGAUGCAGAGCACUGUGGGACCAGAGUUACUGUGGCCUGAGAGUGUGAGGAGGAAGAAAGCCUGCUUUGCUACACCCGGACGUGAGGGGCUACACCUGAGCUUCAGGCAGCCACUGUUUGAGAACCCCACCUUCCAAAAUGGAGGAUGACCUUUACUCUCUGCACCCAAUAGCAAUAAUAGCUACUCCGCACAGUGAGGCUAUAUCCUCCAACUGCUUUGGUGUCUCACAUCAGGUGCCUGGAACUGCUAUCUGGAUGACCCAUACUUUACUGCAGCUGAGACUUGUAUUGGGACUUGUGUGGCCUAAAGGCAGCUGUUUUAUUGGGUGAGCCAAAAUGGAUCCUCCCCAUGCAGAGCUGCUGUGUUAACCUUUUUUCUGCCAGAAAUCUCUGGAUCCAUGUGCAGCCUGAAAAAGGUGUGGGAAAGCUUGUGAACUAUGAUAAUUUGAGGAUUGUAGUGGAUGAAAUUCUCCAUAGCUUCUAGGACAACCUAAGGGCUGAAGUAAAUCCUAUUGCCCCUGUGUCCUCGCCAUGUGAAAUAGGGGAAUUGCUAAUAAAAGGAUUAAAUGUCCACUAGCCAUGCCACGUAUAUGCUCCAAAACCAGACACCCUGCUGGGUGCAAGUUGUCUCUGCCCCCACUAUACCACUGGUCUAGACAUCCUUCACCUGCUUCCCAUGCACAGAGUACUGCAUCAAGUCCACCAGGAAUCAAAAAUCUUCCAUUCCCACAGAGGUAUGGGCAGGAUUUGACAUGAAAUGGAGAUCUAUAAGGAACUGACAGGCUUAACCUGCCUCAAACUAACAAGUUCCCAUGUGCACAGAAAUAAAAAACCUGGGGAAGGGGAGAACUCUUGAGAUGAUCAGACACUGUAAUAUGGUCUUUGUAUCCUCCUCCAUUAGACAGACAAAUAUGGUUAACAAAUGGGAACCACAGCUAUAUAUUUGUUCUGUUCCUAAUUUUAAUGUAUGUUUAUGUAAAGUACCUAGGGACUCUGCUAAACACUUUGUACAAUAAAAAUAAGCCAACUUUAAUACAUCUCCAAAGAUCACAUUUUAACAGGGAACUUUGCAGGAGAAAAACAUGGUUGUCUGAGAAGAAAAUGGAAAAUCACGCCCCCCCCCCCAAAUCUGAGGUGGUCAAUCAAUUAUCAAUCAAAUCAAUUAUCAGUGCUAAAUUAGAAUGUUACUUAUUACUCCUGAAACUAGAAUUCAUUGGAUUAGGUAACUAAUAACAAAGUAGCACUGUGAUUUUAUUUAUGAUAAAACAAAUUUACCUACUGGGAAGAAAUGGACAGAUAAAGCCAUAUGUAAGUAGAGUAUCAGCUCUCUGAGAUGCUUGAUAAAUGCACUUCAACACUCUAAAGCUACAGAGUUUCAUGUAGAGUUCGCUACAAUGUAUUACAAGCAUAUUAUGCUUGCUUUACAGUAGCAAAGCCAACAAAAUGAAGGGGUACCUGAGGAACAUAGCUCAUGGUGACACUUUCUUGAGGUGCCCAGAACUCUAAGCCAGUUACUCUACCAUCUCAGUAAGAGAGCUUUGUUGAAGCUUGCGCGUCAGUUCCCUGUCACGCCAGUCUGUUUGCCUCACCAACAAACUCUGAGACACUGCCAGUCUUAAUCUUGCCUUGUGAGUAACAUGUAGUGAACCCCAAGAACUGCUGGAAGAGCAUUCCUCUGCAGUAUCCAGCCCCUGUCACUGGACACUCUCAGAAACUACUGCAUCCACUUUCUCCAAAGAGAGAGAAUAUACACAGGUCUGUUGGCUCAACUGGGGAUGCACACCUCAUUUUAGAGUAACCACACUGAUAU